rnacentral:misc_RNA from 1 species
GCGAAAACCAGAUCUGUACUGAACAAGUGAAAUUGACUGAAGAAUGGAGUCUUAAAAUAGAAACUUACAUAUAGAUUAAUCAAAACCCUCUGUUAUCUAUCUUGUUCGAAAAAAAAACAAAAUAAUUAUUCUACUGUAUAAAUUUCUUCUGUAGAGGUGUAACCUAGGUUGCGCCACCAUGGAUUUGCGCUUCCCCUUCUAGCCGGCGGAGGUUGCCAAGGUCCGGACGGUCCAGUUCGGCAUUGUCAGCCCCGACGAAAUUAGACAAAUGUCUGUGGUGCACAUUGAGCAUGGUGAGACUACGGAGAGAGGGAAACCAAAGCCUGGAGGGUUGAGCGAUCCUCGGCUUGGGACGAUUGAUCGGAAGAUGAAGUGUAAGACGUGUAUGGCGAACAUGGCUGAAUGUCCGGGGCAUUUUGGUCACCUUGAGCUUGCGAAACCUAUGUUUCAUAUAGGGUUUAUGAAACCUGUUCUUAGUAUCCUUCGGUGUGUCUGCUUCAAUUGCUCCAAAAUUCUGGCGGAUGAGGACAAUCCCAAGUUCAAACAAGCCAUGAGAAUCAGGAAUCCUAAAAACAGGCUUAGAAAGAUGUUGGAUGCUUGCAAGAACAAAACAAAAUGUGAAGGAGGGGAUGAAAUUGAUGUACAAGGCCAAGAUACUGAAGAACCUGUCAAGAAGAGUAGAGGUGGCUGUGGUGCACAGCAGCCAAAAAUUUCAAUAGAUGGUAUGAAGAUGGUUGCUGAAUAUAAGAUGCAAAAGAAAAGAAGUGAUGAUCCUGAUCCGGAG